rfam:Oryza sativa Japonica Group DNA, chromosome 5, cultivar: Nipponbare, complete sequence.
AAAAAAAUAAACGCUGAGUCUCCGUAUCCAAUGUUUGACUCUCUCUCUUAUAUGAAUUUUUUUUAUAAUUAGUAUUUUUAUUAUUGUUAGAUGAUAAAAUAUGAUUGAUAUUUUAUGUGUGACUUGUUUUUUUAAUUUUUUUCAUAAUUUUUUCAAAUAAGACGGACGGUCAAACGUUGGACACGAAAACACAUGGUUUGGUUUGUU